GUGCCAGCAGCCGCGGUAAUACGUAGGGGGUUAGCGUUGUCCGGAUUUACUGGGUAUAAAGGGCGCGUAGGCGGGUUUGUAAGUCAGUGGUGAAAUCCUACAGCUUAACUGUAGAACUGCCUUUGAUACUGCAAAUCUUGAGUUCAGAAGAGAGAGAUGGAAUUCCAGGUGUAGUGGUGAAAUACGUAGAUAUCUGGAAGAACACCAGUGGCGAAGGCGAUCUCUUGGUCUGUAACUGACGCUGAGGCGCGAAAGCGUGGGUAGCAAACAGGAUUAGAUACCCCAGUAGUCC
rnacentral:rRNA from 1 species